rnacentral:rRNA from 1 species
UGUGACUGGGUGCUUUCGCUCAUGUGAAGCUCUUUCGACGAGUCGAGUUGUUUGGGAAUGCAGCUCAAAAUGGGUGGUAAAUUUCAUCUAAAGCUAAAUAUUGGCCAGAGACCGAUAGCGCACAAGUAGAGUGAUCGAAAGAUGAAAAGCACUUUGGAAAGAGAGUUAAACAGUACGUGAAAUUGUUGAAAGGGAAGCGCUUGCAACCAGACUUGCGCGCUGAUGAUCAUCCGGGCUUCUGCCCGGUGCACUCGUCUGCGCUCAGGCCAGCAUCGGUUUCGGUGGUGGGAUAAAGGCCUUGGGAAUGUAGCUCCUCUCGGGGAGUGUUAUAGCCCUCGGUGCAAUGCCGCCUACCGGGACCGAGGACCGCGGAUGCUG